rnacentral:rRNA from 1 species
AGCAGCCGCGGUAAUUCCAGCUCCAAUAGCGUAUAUUAAAGUUGUUGCAGUUAAAAAGCUCGUAGUUGAAUUUCGGGGUCAAUACGUCGGUCGUGCCUUCGGUACGUACUGGUGUUAUUGAUCUCUCCCUUCUGAUGAAUCAUGAUGUCAUUAAUUUGGUGUCGUGGGGAGUCAGGACUGUUACUUUGAAAAAAUUAGAGUGUUUAAAGCAGGCCCACGCUUGAAUACAUUAGCAUGGAAUAAUGAAAUAGGACGUUCGAUCCUAUUUUGUUGGUUUCUAGGAUCAACGUAAUGAUUAAUAGGGAUAGUUGGGGGCAUUAGUAUUCAAUUGUCAGAGGUGAAAUUCUUGGAUUUAUUGAAGACUAACUACUGCGAAAGCAUUUGCCAAGGAUGUUUUCAUUAAUCAAGAACGAAAGUUAGGGGAUCGAAGACGAUCAGAUACCGUCGUAG